rnacentral:rRNA from 1 species
AGUGGCGGACGGGUGAGUAACGCGUGAGAAUCUACCUUCAGGACGGGGACAUCAGCUGGAAACGGCUGCUAAUACCCGAUAUGCCGAAAGGUGAAAAGUUUUUUCGCCUGGAGAGGAGCUCGCGUCCGAUUAGCUAGUUGGUGAGGUAAAAGCUUACCAAGGCGACGAUCGGUAGCUGGUCUGAGAGGAUGAGCAGCCACACUGGAACUGAGACACGGUCCAGACUCCUACGGGAGGCAGCAGUGGGGAAUUUUCCGCAAUGGGCGAAAGCCUGACGGAGCAACGCCGCGUGGGGGAAGAAGGUUUUUGGAUUGUAAACCCCUUUUCUCAAGGAAGAACAAAAUGACGGUACUUGAGGAAUCAGCCUCGGCUAACUCCGUGCCAGCAGCCGCGGUAAUACGGAGGAGGCAAGCGUUAUCCGGAAUUAUUGGGCGUAAAGCGUUCGUAGGCGGCUGUUCAAGUCUGCUGUCAAAGACCGAGGCUCAACCUCGGGUAGGCAGUGGAAACUGGAUAGCUAGAGGUCGGUAGGGGCAGAGGGAAUUCCCAGUGUAGCGGUGAAAUGCGUAGAUAUUGGGAAGAACACCGGUGGCGAAAGCGCUCUGCUGGGCCGAACCUGACGCUGAGGGACGAAAGCUAGGGGAGCGAAUGGGAUUAGAUACCCC